UUUACUAUUGAGCUGGUUGAAAAUUUAGUUUUUUUGUCUUUUUCUUUAAAACACUGUAGCUUUCCCCACGUGGUUUUUUUUCCGCUUUUGUUUUCUUUUUUGUACAUUUUUUUUUCAUUUCUUUUACCCAAAAUUGACUUCUUUUUUUUUUAGAUAGCCUUUGUCGGUUUUUUUUAUAUAUUGAGCUGGUUGAGAGAUUAGCUUUGUAGCUUUUAAAAAAA
rnacentral:lncRNA from 1 species